CGACUGCCGUUCAACAGUGCGUUGCGCAAAUGCAGUUAAAAAGCCAACCAAGUUAGUGUCAAAUCCGUGGGCAGCUGAUCACAAAACGCAUACCACAUGACCAGAAGCAUGUGGCCGAACCCCACACGGUGGUCCGCAUUAUUCGGCUGCUCAGAAGCAACUCUGCUCCAGACGCAUUUACGGGAAACGGCAUGUACUGUAUAUGUUUCGGCUACAGCCUAUUGCCACAUACUGCGCAGCAACGACAGCAAAUCGGCGCACCGCCGGGACACUUUGCAAAGUUGUAAUUUUUGUGAUGUUUCCGUGUAGGUUUACCUGUGAUAUUUACGCCGAAUUAUAAAUGAGAGGUUCGUGUCCGGUGGCCCCGGGUGGACGGCGGUACUCAACGGUUGGCAAAUCAUUGUCACCUUUCACACCUUGACCCGUACCAUCCCUGGAAAGUUUCGCCUUCUCGUUAAUGAUGUCCUGCUUAAUCUCAUCUGGUCGUUUCUGGAGAGUAUCCUUGGCCUCCAGCAGCGCUUUUUCGUGGUCUUUCCUGAUUUUCGCCAGAAUCCUGUCGUCGCUGCCAGCCGAACCUGAGUCGCUGCUGUCCGGACCGUUGCGGGUGUUGGUCUCCACCGCGGAGGAAUGAAAGAAAACUCCGCUGAGCAGCUUGGAGGAGU